UAGGGAAUCUUCGGCAAUGGACGAAAGUCUGACCGAGCAACGCCGCGUGAGUGAAGAAGGUUUUCGGAUCGUAAAACUCUGUUGUUAGAGAAGAACAAGGACGUUAGUAACUGAACGUCCCCUGACGGUAUCUAACCAGAAGGCCACGGCUAACUACGUGCCAGCAGCCGCGGUAAUACGUAGGUGGCAAGCGUUGUCCGGAUUUAUUGGGCGUAAAGCGAGCGCAGGCGGUUUCUUAAGUCUGAUGUGAAAGCCCCCGGCUCAACCGGGGAGGGUCAUUGGAAACUGGGAGACUUGAGUGCAGAAGAGGAGAGUGGAAUUCCAUGUGUAGCGGUGAAGUGCGUAGAUAUAUGGAGGAACACCAGUGGCGAAGGCGGCUCUCUGGUCUGUAACUGACGCUGAGGCUCGAAAGCGUGGGGAGCAAACAGG
rnacentral:rRNA from 1 species